UUUUUAGGUUAAGUUAGAAAGGGCGCACGGUGGAUGCCUUGGCACUAGGAGCCGAUGAAGGACGGGACUAACACCGAUAUGCUUCGGGG
rnacentral:rRNA from 1 species